AUUGUGGUUGAAAUGAUAUGAAGAACUUGUUCAGAUUUGAAUUUUCAACAUUGACAAUGAGUGGCGAACGGUGAGUAACACGUGGGAAACCUACCUCUUAGCAGGGGAUACAUUGGAAACAAAUGCUAAUACCGUAUAAUAAUUAAAACCGCAUGGUUUUAGUUUAAAAGAUGGUCUUGCUAUCACUAAGAGAUGGUCCCGCGGUGUAUUAGUUAGUUGGUGAGGUAAUGGCUCACCAAGACAAUGAUACAUAGCCGAGUUGAGAGACUGACCGGCCACAAUGGGACUGAGACACGGCCCAUACUCCUACGGGGGGCAGCAGUAGGGAAUCUUCCACAAUGGACGAAAGUCUGAUGGAGCAACGCCGCGUGUGUGAUGAAGGGUUUCGGCUCGUAAAACACUGUUGUAAGAGAAGAAUGACAUUGAGAGUAACUGUUCAAUGUGUGACGGUAUCUUACCAGAAAGGAACGGCUAAAUACGUG
rnacentral:rRNA from 1 species